GUGGGGGGUCUGCCUUUUUAUUAUACAUUAAAAGUUUCAUCUCAUCUGUUACUUAAGUAAUAAUAACAAUAAAAAGUAAUAGAUAGUGAAAACAUACAUUUGACCUCCCCUAUAACGGUUGGUACCAUUGUCAAGGCAAGCUCGCGCCUUGGCUUGAAGCAUAUAUGCGGCAACACAACGUUAGUCAGCGACAGCGUGUGGAAACCGGCAGAGUACCGAAAGACACAGCUGUGACAGUGAUGGGUUCCUGUUCUUCAGAAGGCCUUUCUUUCUCAUUAGAUCAUCUGGACAGCAUUACUACAUCCAGUCAAGUCCUGGAAAGAGUUCUUACCUCAUCAGUCACGUGACGUCCUGCCGCUGAUUCCUGUGGCCCUUGUGAUGGGUGAACUUAGUUCAGUAAACUUAGGCCUUGGAUUCA
ensembl:processed_transcript